CAGUAGCCGCGGUAAUACGUAGGGUGCGAGCGUUAAUCGGAAUUACUGGGCGUAAAGCGUGCGCAGGCGGUUCGUUAAGACAGAUGUGAAAUCCCCGGGCUUAACCUGGGAACUGCAUUUGUGACUGGCGAGCUAGAGUAUGGCAGAGGGGGGUAGAAUUCCACGUGUAGCAGUGAAAUGCGUAGAGAUGUGGAGGAAUACCGAUGGCGAAGGCAGCCCCCUGGGCCAAUACUGACGCUCAUGCACGAAAGCGUGGGGAGCAAACAGGAUUAGAUACCCCGGUAGUCCCUGUCUCUUAACA
rnacentral:rRNA from 1 species